UGCGUAGGUGGUAUGGCAAGUCAGAAGUGAAAACCCAGGGCUUAACUCUGGGACUGCUUUUGAAACUGUCAGACUGGAGUGCAGGAGAGGUAAGCGGAAUUCCUAGUGUAGCGGUGAAAUGCGUAGAUAUUAGGAGGAACAUCAGCGGCGAAGGCGGCUUACUGGACUGAAACUGACACUGAGGCACGAAAGCGUGGGAGCAAACA
rnacentral:rRNA from 1 species